GGGUUGGCUUUAGCUCAAGCAGUUACUUCCUCAUGCUAGGCUCUCCAACUGUUCAGUCUCCCUGCUGGGGUCCAAGACCCACAGAUGCUUACUGAUCCUUUA
ensembl:misc_RNA Vault Vault RNA